UACGUAGGGACCAAGCGUUGUUCGGAUUUACUGGGCGUAAAGGGCUCGUAGGCGGUUUGUCGCGUCGGGAGUGAAAACCAGGUGCUUAACACCUGGCUUGCUUUCGAUACGGGCAGACUAGAGGUAUGCAGGGGAGAACGGAAUUCCUGGUGUAGCGGUGAAAUGCGCAGAUAUCAGGAGGAACACCGGUGGCGAAGGCGGUUCUCUGGGCAUGACCUGACGCUGAGGAGCGAAAGUGUGGGGAGCGAACAGG
rnacentral:rRNA from 1 species